GAAACGCGAUAGUUAAUGUGAAUUGCAGAAUUCAGUGAAUCAUCGAAUCUUUGAACGCACAUUGCGCCCCUUGGUAUUCCAUGGGGCAUGCCUGUUCGAGCGUCAUUUGUACCCUCAAGCUCUGCUUGGUGUUGGGUGUUUGUCCCGUCUCCGCGCGUGGACUCGCCCCAAAGUGAUUGGCAGCCGGCGUACUGGUCCCGGAGCGCAGCACAUGUCGCGCAAACGAGUGCCUUGGUACGGCGGCGUCCAUAAGCCCCUCUCUCACGCUCUUGACCUCGGAUCAGGUAGGGAUACCCGCUGAACUUAAGC
rnacentral:misc_RNA from 1 species